rnacentral:rRNA from 1 species
UUCCGGUUGAUCCCGCCGGAGGCCAUUGCUAUCGGAGUCCGAUUUAGCCAUGCUAGUCGAGCGAGGUUAGCCCUCGCGGCGAACAGCUCAGUAACACGUGGCCAAGCUACCCUGCAGAGGGGGACAGCGUCGGGAAACUGACGGGAAUCCCCCAUACCGGUCUCACGCUGGAAUGCCGAGACCGACAAACGCUCCGGCGCUGCAGGAUGCGGCUGCGGCCGAUUAGGUAGUCGGUGGGGUAACGGCCCACCGAGCCGAUAAUUGGUACGGGGUGUGAGAGCACGAGCCCGGAGACGGAAUCUGAGACAAGAUUCCGGGCCCUACGGGGCGCAGCAGGCGCGAAACCUUUACACUGCACGAACGUGCGAUAAGGGGACUCCGAGUGCGAGGGCAUACAGUCCUCGCUAUUGUGUACCGUAGGGUGGUACACGACCAAGAGCCGGGCAAGACCGGUGCCAGCCGCCGCGGUAAUACCGGCAGCUCGAGUGAUGGCCGAUUUUAUUGGGCCUAAAGCGUCCGUAGCUGGCCCUGCAAGUCCGUCGGGAAAUCCACUCGCCUAACGAGUGGGCGUCCGGCGGAAACUACAGGGCUUGGGACCGGAAGACUUGAGGGGUACGUCUGGGGUAGGAGUGAAAUCCUGUAAUCCUGGACGGACCGCCGAUAGCGAAAGCACCUCAAGACGACGGAUCCGACAGUGAGGGACGAAAGCUAGGGUCUCGAACCGGAUUAGAUACCCGGGUAGUCCUAGCUGUAAACGAUGUUCGCUAGAUGUGGCACAAGCUACG